AGUGAACGCUGGCGGUAGGCCUAACACAUGCAAGUCGAACGGCAGCACAGUAAGAGCUUGCUCUUACGGGUGGCGAGUGGCGGACGGGUGAGGAAUACAUCGGAAUCUACUUUUUCGUGGGGGAUAACGUAGGGAAACUUACGCUAAUACCGCAUACGACCUACGGGUGAAAGCAGGGGAUCUUCGGACCUUGCGCGAUUGAAUGAGCCGAUGUCGGAUUAGCUAGUUGGCGGGGGAAAGGCCCACCAAGGCGACGAUCCGUAGCUGGUCUGAGAGGAUGAUCAGCCACACUGGAACUGAGACACGGUCCAGACUCCUACGGGAGGCAGCGGUGGGGAAUAUUAGACAAUGGGCGCAAGCCUGAUCCAGCCAUACCGCGUGGGUGAAGAAGGCCUUCGGGUUGUAAAGCCCUUUUGUUGGGAAAGAAGAGCAGCAGGUUAAUACCCCGCUGUUCUGACGGUACCCAAAGAAUAAGCACCGGCUAACUUCGUG
rnacentral:rRNA from 1 species